ensembl:snoRNA small nucleolar RNA SNORA49
CUUCCCUUUCCUUACUCCAGCUACUCUGUCCUCAGUGGAGUUGUCUGGCAUUGACAGGGGAUACAGCACUUUGGCUCUCUCGCCUCUCAGUUAGGAUCUUCUUCUUACACGUGGCUUGUGAGAGAGUUAACAAU